rnacentral:rRNA from 1 species
GAUGAACGCUAGCUACAGGCUUAACACAUGCAAGUCGAGGGGUAACGAGAGGAAAGCUUGCUUUCCCUGUCGACGACCGGCGCACGGGCGAGUAACGCGUAUCCAACCUGCCCCCAACUAGGGAAUAACCUUGCGAAAGUAAGACUAAUACCCUAUAAUUUCCUCAGAUGACAUCUGACGAGGAAUAAAGAUUUAUCGGUUGUGGAUGGGGAUGCGUCUGAUUAGCUUGUUGGCGGGGUAACGGCCCACCAAGGCAACGAUCAGUAGGGGUUCUGAGAGGAAGGUCCCCCACAUUGAAACUGAGACACGGUCCAAACUCCUACGGGAGGCAGCAGUGAGGAAUAUUGGUCAAUGGGCGGAAGCCUGAACCAGCCAAGUAGCGUGCAGGAUGACGGCCCUAUGGGUCGUAAACUGCUUUUAUACAGGAAUAAAGUUAGCCACGUGUGGUUAUUUGUAGGUACUGUAUGAAUAAGGACCGGCUAAUUCCGUGCCAGCCGCCGCAGUAA